rnacentral:rRNA from 1 species
CGUGUAGGCGGAUUUUCAAGUCAAAUGUGAAAACCCCGAGCUUAACUCGGGGCCUGCAUUUGAUACUGUAAAUCUUGAGUACGGGAGAGGAAAGCGGAAUUCCUGGUGUAGCGGUGAAAUGCGUAGAUAUCAGGAGGAACACCGGUGGCGAAGGCGGCUUUCUGGCCCGAUACUGACGCUAAGGCGCGAAGGCCGGGGGAGCAAACA